GGAAGUAAAAAUCGUAACAAGGUCUCCGUUGGUGAACCAGCGGAGGGAUCAUUACAGAGUUGCAAAACUCCCUAAACCAUUGUGAACGUUACCUAUACCGUUGCUUCGGCGGGCGGCCCCGGGGUUUACCCCCCGGGCGCCCCUGGGCCCCACCGCGGGCGCCCGCCGGAGGUCACCAAACUCUUGAUAAUUUAUGGCCUCUCUGAGUCUUCUGUACUGAAUAAGUCAAAACUUUCAACAACGGAUCUCUUGGUUCUGGCAUCGAUGAAGAACGCAGCGAAAUGCGAUAAGUAAUGUGAAUUGCAGAAUUCAGUGAAUCAUCGAAUCUUUGAACGCACAUUGCGCCCGCCAGCAUUCUGGCGGGCAUGCCUGUUCGAGCGUCAUUUCAACCAUCAAGCCCCCGGGCUUGUGUUGGGGACCUGCGGCUGCCGCAGGCCCUGAAAAGCAGUGGCGGGCUCGCUGUCGCACCGAGCGUAGUAGCAUACAUCUCGCUCUGGUCGCGCCGCGGGUUCCGGCCGUUAAACCACCUUUUAACCCAAGGUUGACCUCGGAUCAGGUAGGAAGACCCGCUGAACUUAAGCAUAUCAAAAGCCCGGAGGAAA
rnacentral:rRNA from 1 species